AGAGUUUGAUCAUGGCUCAGGAUGAACGCUAGCGGCAGGCUUAACACAUGCAAGUCGAGGGGUAUAAUUAGCUUGCUAAUUAGAGACCGGCGCACGGGUGCGUAACGCGUAUGCAAUCUACCUUUUACAGGGGGAUAGCCCAGAGAAAUUUGGAUUAAUACCCCAUAGUAUAUAUGAAUGGCAUCAUUUAUAUAUUAAAGUCACAACGGUAAAAGAUGAGCAUGCGUCCCAUUAGUUAGUUGGUAAGGUAACGGCUUACCAAGACGAUGAUGGGUAGGGGUCCUGAGAGGGAGAUCCCCCACACUGGUACUGAGACACGGACCAGACUCCUACGGGAGGCAGCAGUGAGGAAUAUUGGACAAUGGGCGCAAGCCUGAUCCAGCCAUGCCGCGUGCAGGAUGAAGCAUCUAUGGUGUGUAAACUGCUUUUAUACGGGAAGAAUCCCCGCCUCGUGAGGCGGACUGACGGUACCGUAAGAAUAAGACAGAUUCCCCC
rnacentral:rRNA from 1 species